rnacentral:sRNA from 1 species
CGAAAGCCUGACGGAGCAAUACCGCGUGAGGGAGGAAGGCUCUUGGGUUGUAAACCUCUUUUCUCAGGGAAUAAUCAAUUGAAGGUACUUGAGGAAUAAGCAUCGGCUAACUCCGUGCCAGCAGCCGCGGUAAUACGGAGGAUGCAAGCGUUAUCCGGAAUGAUUGGGCGUAAAGCGUCCGCAGGUGGUUUCACAAGUCUGUUGUCAAAGCGUCUGGCUCAACUAGAUAAGGGCAGUGGAAACUGAGAGACUAGAGUAAGGUAGGGGUAGAGGGAAUUCCUGGUGUAGCGGUGAAAUGCGUAGAGAUCAGGAAGAACACCGGUGGCGAAAGCGCUCUGCUGGACUAUUACUGACACUGAGGGACGAAAGCUAGGGGAGCGAAUGGGAUUAGAUACCCCAGUAGUCCUAGCCGUAAACGAUGGAUACUAGGCGUUACGCGUAUCGACCCGCGUAGUGCCGGAGCCAACGCGUUAAGUAUCCCGCCUGGGGAGUACGCCGGCAACGGUGAAACUCAAAGGAAUUGACGGGGGCCCGCACAAGCGGUGGAGUAUGUGGUUUAAUUCGAUGCAACGCGAAGAACCUUACCAGGGCUUGACAUGUCGCGAAUCCCGAUGAAAGUUGGGAGUGCCUUAGGGAGCGCGAACACAGGUGGUGCAUGGCUGUCGUCAGCUCGUGUCGUGAGAUGUUGGGUUAAGUCCCGCAACGAGCGCAACCCUCGUACUUAGUUGCCAUCAUUAAGUUGGGAACUCUAAGGAGACUGCCGGUGACAAACCGGAGGAAGGUGGGGAUGACGUCAAGUCAGCAUGCCCCUUACGUCCUGGGCUACACACGUACUACAAUGCUAUGGACAGAGGGCAGCAAGCGAGCGAUCGCAAGCAAAUCUCACAAACCAUGGCUCAGUUCAGAUCGCAGGCUGCAACUCGCCUGCGUGAAGGUGGAAUCGCUAGUAAUUGCAGGUCAGCAUACUGCAGUGAAUUCGUUCCCGGGCCUUGUACACACCGCCCGUCACACCAUGGAAGCUGGUAGUGCCCGAAGUCGUUACUCUAACCAUUCGUGGAGGAGGAUGCCGAAGGCAGGACUGGUGACUGGGGUGAGGUCGUAACAAGGUAGCCGUACCGGAAGGUGUGGCUGGAUCACCUCCUUUUAGGGAGACCAACUUUUCAGCUUUGCGGUGACUCCUGACCAGUGACCAGAAGAAAAAGGUUGUUGGGAGCGAGUCGAGAGUGAAACUGAAGGGACAUCCCAGGUCGUGCGAGGAAAAAAAUUGGCUUUCAAACUAGAGAUCGGUUCGUUCAGUGACUCCUGACCAGUGACCAGUGAAAAGAACUGGAGCCAGAUCACUCAAAAAAACAGGCCUCGCAAUCCAUGCGAUGGUUUGUCAAAGCUAAAUCAUUAAUUCAUCCGAGCAAAGUGGAAGAUUCAGCAACUUGUCUCCUCAAAGAGCAAGACUGCUGGGUAGAAAACCAGCCAGAACCUUGAAAACUGCAUAGAGACGCGAUAAGAGAUAAUUGUUAGUGGUUAGUAGUUAGUGGUGAGUGGUUAGUUGUGAUGACUAACAAAUAACAACUAACAAAUAACAACUAACAACUAAAAAAAAGUGGUCAAGAGAAUUAGGGCUAAUGGU